rnacentral:rRNA from 1 species
GAUGAACGCUGGCGGCGUGCCUAAUACAUGCAAGUCGAGCGAACAGACGCGGCUCUUGCUCCUUUGGCGUUAGCAACUGACGGGUGAGUCACACGUAGGUAGCCUACCUCUAAGACUUGGAUCACUUCGAGAAACCGGAGCUACUACCGGGUAAUAUUUCUAACCGCAUGGUUCGAUAGUGAUAGAUGGCUUUGCUGACCCUUAUAGCUGGCCCUGCGCCGGAUGAGCUAGUUGGUACGGUAACGGCUUACCAAGGCCACGAUGGGUAGCCGACCUGAGAGGGUGUGCGCCGACACUGGAACUGGGACACGGUCCAGACUCCUACGGGAGGCAGCAGUAGGUAAUCUUCCGCAAUGGGCGAAAGCCUGACGGAGCAACGCCGCGCUAGUGAUGAAGGUCUUCGGAUCGUAAAACUCUGUUAUUAGGGAAGAACAAACGUGUAAGUAACUGUGCACGUCUUGACGGUACCUAGUUAGAAAGCCACGGCUAACUACGUG